UACGAAAUCAUAAUUUGUCCAAAUGACCAGUGAUGAAAGACCUGCGCACCAGAAACAAAUUUCAUUGGUAGUCGGGCGCAACCCACAGUCUGCUGACAGAUGCUACGAUACCAGGUAUGUUAUGCACAUCUGUCCACGAGAGAUUACAUGGUAGGUAGCAGUAAACAUAGCAGUCUAUAUCUUGACCUCAAUCUCCAUCUGGUAGACUGCUUGAAUCCACUGCUCCAGAUUUAUUUUUUUAUUUUUUUAAAUCUAAAGACACAUGAUCAUCACUUAGGCUUAAACCUCUCCGUUUCAUUUCAAUGAGGGUGAGUCAGGAGUUGCUUAGUGGUCAAGGGGCUAGUGGUCAGUUUGGAACCAGCCUGUGUGUUCCACAGCCACACAGGAGGCCCAGAGUACACACGUUCCAGGGAUUUCCUUAGAUGCUCGUUUCUGACAGAGACAGUCCCAUUUCUGUCCACAACAGUAACCAUUUGUUUUCAUUAUUUUCAAAAGGAGAGAUGCACAGAUGUGAUCUCCCUCUGGAUAGAUAAGCAUGGACAAUAACAAUAAGCACUGAAAAAGAGGGAAAAUAGUCAUUUGUUACUGGCCAACUCCAAUCCGAGGGCGAGUUGCCAUAUUGUAAUAUUUUCGUUGCCCUCAUUGUAAAACACUCUUACAAACAAAAACAGUCUCAAACAGGCAGGUUCUCAGGUGCACAACAAAAAACGUCAAAAUGUUCAGCUUUGUACUUCUGGUUUUCUGUUUGCCUCUGGAUGGGCGGGGUUUAGUGGUGUCCCCUACAUCGCAGUAAGUCAGGGCUAUUUGGAGAGGAGGGGUCUGGAAGGUGAGGGUAGUUUUGGAGAGGAGGGGUCUGGAAGGUGAGGGUAGUUUUGGAGAGGAGGGGUCUGGAAGGUGAGAGUAGUUUUGGAGAGGAGGGGUCUGGAAGGUGAGAGUAGUUUUGGAGAGGAGGGGUCUGGGCUCUGGAAGGGGUCUGGGCUCUGGAAGGUGAUGGUCGACUCAGAGUUCUGUCAGAGAGAGAAGACCCCACCCCUCCUCCCCUGAAUAGGAACCUCAGAAAGAGUCCAAUUGAUAAUUUAUCAGUAGUGAUCAAUCAGUCUGUAUGGAUCAGAGACCAGUAGUGAUCAAUCAGUCUGUAUGGAUCAGAGACCAGUAGUGAUCAAUCAGUCUGUAUGGAUCAGACACCAGUAGUGAUCAAUCAGUCUGUAUGGAUCAGAGAUCAGUAGUGAUCAAUCAGUCUGUAUGGAUCAGAGACCAGUAGUGAUCAAUCAGUCUGUAUGGAUCAGACACCAGUAGUGAUCAAUCAGUCUGUAUGGAUCAGAGAUCAGUAGUGAUCAAUCAGUCUGUAUGGAUCAGAGACCAGUAGUGAUCAAUCAGUCUGUAUGGAUCAGAGACCAGUAGUGAUCAAUCAGUCUGUAUGGAUCAGACACCAGUAGUGAUCAAUCAGUCUGUAUGGAUCAGAGAUCAGUAGUGAUCAAUCAGUCUGUAUGGA